UUUACUAUUUUUACUAUUUUUGUUGUUUAUUUUUGUUGUUUUUGUUCCUUAUCUUUUGUUUGUGUGUUUUGUUUAAGUGUUUCAAGUAGUACAUUUUCUUGGUUUCAUGGUUUCAGUGUUUGAAUAAGUGAUGAAUGUUAGUAAUAAUGGAUGAAAAGAGUCACUCAGACGGAAUGCUUGGUUUCUUUCGGUGGAAUUACCCCAAAAAAU
rnacentral:lncRNA from 1 species